UCUUUUUCCCUCGGCUCUCAUCCUGACCGCACACAUUGCCUGAGCGCUACUUGUAAGGCCUAUAGCUUUCAGUUCUGCUUCAUGAAACUGAAUUUCUGGACUUGUAACAUGCUUCAUACUGUGGAUUCCAAAAAACUUUAACAGAAUUUGAAAAGAUAGAAUCAAUAUUGGGAUACUGGUGACUGACUGAAUAGACUGUAUUCUGUUCACACAGUACUAUGUACAUUUUGCCUUUACACUAGACGUUUAAUUUUAUGAAUUAAAAGUCAUGAGUUUAGCAAAGAAAUCUAGAGCUCAAAAUUAUAUUUUCUUAAUGUCAAUUUUCCAAGAAAAAAAUUAAAACUCCAACUUAUCAUCUUUUUUAUAAAUAUAUGCAAAACAGUCUUGACAGCUCUCUUAGCUCUGUAACAAAAUGCCUUUUACCUGUAACAUGAAAAUAAUGCCAGUGCCAGGCAGAACUACUGUAAAUCUCAGACAAUGAAAAACGGCUGUUCCGUAAUUCUGUUGUUUUUUUUUUUUCUGUUGUUGUUUUGUUUUUUUUUUCCUGAACUUUACAGUUUUAUCUAAAGUGGGAUCAGGGUGGAGAAAACAGAGAGGAAGGCCCUCUCAGCCAGGACAUUUAAUGUUGUGUCAAUUGUCUUUGCUUUUCAUUUGCACUUCUCUCAUCUUUCUAUUGAUAUUUUCUUACCACGCACUACUUCUGACUCUACCUCACUUUCUAACUGUGAUGCUCUGCCUUCCCUAUGCUAAAGUAUACCUGAGCUAUUAAAAAUUAUUUUUCCCGUGAGUUUCUCUUCAGCACCUGAAUGUGAGCCUGUGUUUCAAUCUCGGAAUUCUCAUUGACAAUCUUACUUCUCAUUGAGAUAGGAGGCAGAGAAUGGCCAGCAAAUUUUACUUAUGACUGACCUUCUCAUUAAGUAAUUUUUAUUGUUCCUCAAAGACUGCAUUAUAUAAGGAGAAUGGAAAAGUGCCAGUGAAAGCUUACGGACCAAUAUACAUGUGUACCGAGAUAAGAAUUUAUUUUAGGCA
rnacentral:lncRNA from 1 species